CAGGACACCUGACAGGAAUGCAGGGUGUGGAGUGGCCCGCAGGCUGUGGGGAUGACAUGGAAGAAACUGAAAGCUGGAGAACUGCUGGGCAGAGAUGUAGAGGAUGUCUCUAGUGGUCUCCAAGUCAGCACUAGCCAGAGAUGACGGCUAUGGACAUCAGAUUGUCUCCAAGAGAAGUGAAUCUUCCUCCUGGAUUUUCUGGAAACUGGUCUGUAACAGAAGAACCUCUUUGUGAGAAGGCUGGUCCAUACCAAGGUUCUAAUCUGCAAUUAUCUAGAAGAACAAAGCCUGUCCAGAAGAUAUUGAACUUACAACAGUUGUCUACAAUCAUAUUUUUCUAAAUGAAGAUUUGCCAAGUCAGCAUCCAAUUGCUUUCCUUUCCUUGUAUUUUUCUAUAGUGCUUUGGCAUUUGUGAAAUGCUUUUACAUUCUGCAUUUUAUUUACCUUUACUUUUGACAUAGAAAUCUAGGUUGGCAGGUUUGGUUUUUAUAUUUCCCCAGCUCUUUAAAUUUGUCUUCCCAUUUUUUGUGUUCUAGUUGUUUUUAUUGAGAAGCCAUUUAUCAGUCUAGUUGUUCCUUUGAAGGAGAUAUAUAUCCAACCCCUCCACCCUAGCUGCUUUAAAGAUUUUUUCUUUGUCUUUGACUUAUAGCAGUUUGACUCUGAUGUGCCUAGGUGUGGUUUUCUGUGUAUUGAUCCUGCUUGGAAGGUUCUUGAAUCUGUGACUUGUUGACUUGAUUAGUUUUGGAAAAUUUUGGCUAUCAUUUCAUUAAAUAUUGUUUUUAUUCUAUCCUCUUUCUUGUUUCCUCUCCUGGGAUUCCAAAUAGAUUUCCCAUAUGUGCUAUAUGUAUUUUUCUGAUUUUUCCACCUUUUAUUUUCUCUCUGUGAUUUAAUCUGGAUAUUUUCUAAUAACAUUUUUUAAAGACUUUUUUUUUUUGGAAGCAGUUUUAGAUUUACAAUAAAAUUGAGAGGAAGGUACA
rnacentral:lncRNA from 1 species